CCUACGGGAGGCUGCAGUGAGGAAUCUUCCACAAUGGGGGCAACCCUGAUGGAGCAACGCCGCGUGCAGGAUGAAGGCCUUCGGGUCGUAAACUGCUUUUAUAAGUGAGGAAUAUGACGGUAACUUAUGAAUAAGGAUCGGCUAACUACGUGCCAGCAGCCGCGGUCAUACGUAGGAUCCGAGCGUUAUCCGGAGUGACUGGGCGUAAAGAGUUGCGUAGGUGGUUUGUUAAGUAGGUAGUGAAAUCUGGCGGCUCAACCGUACAGGCUAUUACCUAAACUGGCAAACUCGAGAAUGGUAGAGGUCACUGGAAUUUCUAGUGUAGGAGUGAAAUCCGUAGAUAUUAGAAGGAACACCAAUGGCGUAGGCAGGUGACUGGACCAUUUCUGACACUGAGGCACGAAAGCGUGGGGAGCGAACCGGCUUAGAUACCCGAGUAGUC
rnacentral:rRNA from 1 species